CCUACGGGAGGCAGCAGUGAGGAAUAUUGGUCAAUGGACGGAAGCCUGAACCAGCCAUGCCGCGUGCAGGAAGACGGCUCUAUGAGUUGUAAACUGCUUUUGUACAAGGGUAAACCUGAAUACGUGUAUUCAGCUGAAAGUACUGUACGAAUAAGGAUCGGCUAACUCCGUGCCAGCAGCCGCGGUAAUACGGAGGAUCCAAGCGUUAGCCGGAUUUAUUGGGUUUAAAGGGUGCGUAGGCGGAUUGAUAAGUUAGAGGUGAAAUGUUCGAGCUGAACUCGAGAACUGCCUCUAAAACUGUUGUUCUAGAGAGUAGGUGAGGUAGGCGGAAUGUAUGGUGUAGCGGUGAAAUGCUUAGAGAUCAUACAGAACCCCGAUUGCGAAGGCAGCUUACCAAUCUAUAUCUGACGUUGAGGCACGAAAGCGUGGGGAGCAAACAGGAUUAGAUACCCGGGUAGUC
rnacentral:rRNA from 1 species